CCUACGGGUGGCAGCAGUGAGGAAUAUUGGGCAAUGGACGAGAGUCUGAACCAGCCAAGUCGCGUGAAGGAUGACUGCCCUAUGGGUUGUAAACUUCUUUUAUGUGGGAGUAAAAUGUACCGCGUGUGGGGUUUUGUAUGUACCAUAUGAAUUAGGAUCAGCUAACUCCGUGCCAGCAGCCGCGGUAAUACGGAGGAUCCGAGGGUUAUCCGGAUUUGUUGGGUGUAAGGGGAGCGUAGGUGGAUUGUUAAGUCAGUUGUGAAAGCUUGCGGAUCAACCGGAAAAUUGCAGUUGAAACUGGCAGUCUUGAGUACAGUAGAGGUGGGCGGAAUUCGUGGUGUAGCGGUGAAAUGCUUAGAUAUAACGAAGAACUCCGAUUGCGAAGGCAGAUCACUGGACUGUAACUGACACUGAGGCUCGAAAGUGUGGGUAUCAAACAGGAUUAGAUACCCGAGUAGUC
rnacentral:rRNA from 1 species